rnacentral:lncRNA from 1 species
AGAUAAUUAUAAUAUGGUGACAGAAGUCAUUUUGGAAUUUAAAUUUUUACUAUAAUUAAUUGGCAAAAUAGAAAAUAAAGUAUUGGUUCUUUAGUUAUUUGUCUCUCUCUUGUGUUUCAGUAUCUGUUAACAGUAUCUGUUCCUAGGUACCUAGCAUACGUGGGUAUAACUCCCAUCUAUCCAUAUAGUCUCCUUUUACCUAUAUGUCCCUCACUCCAGUUCUACAUUAAAAAAAAAAAAAAAACAACAACAACAACAACAACUAAGGCUACUUGUCUUUGUGAAAUUGGCUUAUUUUACUCAACGUGAUGAUCCCCAGACCCACUAACUUUCCUAAGGAUGGUAUAUCAUUCUUUGCUGUUGAGGAAAACUUUUUUGUGUAUAUAUACCACAUUAUAUAAAUCCAUUCUUUUACUGGCAGGCACCUAAUGACACCCUCACUUGGCACUUGUAAAUAGCACAUCAGUAAGCAUGUAUACUCAGAUAGAAAGCUGACUUGACUCUUUGAGGAUAUACCUAAAAGUGUCACCAUCGUUUAUAUGGUUGUAUAAGAUCAUAUAUAUAUAUGAUCUCGUAUAUAUACACACAUAUGUGUGUGUGUCAAUGUGAAAAUUGUUAUAUAAGUUAUAUAUACAAAUUGUUUUAUAUAUAAGUAAAAUGUUGUUGUUUUCAGUGAAUUUAGAAGUAGUAACAUUAACUUUGCAUUUUGUGAGAUUCUUGUGUCUCGCCAAUCUCCUUUCUGUUUUCUCUGCCUCCUAGCUUCAUACUGCAUAGGACCCUCGUGGAAACCUUUGCCAUCUGUAGCUGUCAGAUCCUUACUUCCUAACUCCCAAAUGCAUGUUUAUUUCCUUUGCUCUCUUCCUGUUAAAGCUUCUAGUUACAAAAUUGAUCCAUUCUCUACCUCUGUAUUUGAGCUUCUAUUAUUUCUCCAGGACUGUUCUUGGGUGAAAGUAAGGAAUGGGAGGAGAUAAUGCACACACACACACACACACACACACACACAGGCAUAGAUGCAUGCACAUGCUGUACACACACACCAAAAAAAAUGAUACUAGGGAGUAUUUUUUAUUUUUAGGUAUGUUAGUAUUUUGAGCUGCAUGCCUCUCCCAGCACACUAAAUAUUCAGAUCUUCCAUACCACCUUAGAAGAGUAAAAUCAGUAGGCCCUUCUUAUCCCCAUUAUUCUGAUAAUUACUUCUGGACUGAGAUUAAAAGGUUAUCUUAUAAUUACUGUUCCAUGUUGAACUUUCCAUAACUGGAUUUCUUUUCCCUUUGGGCCACUGCCCUGCAGACUCCCCCUGCCUACAUGAUAUCGUGUUGCUGUUGUGUGCAGAGGCAUCUGUCAUCCAAACUGUUGCUGUACAUCUAUUUUAAGGAGGAAACUAUUCAUCCCCAAACACUCCUUACCCUUUUGUAAUAACAACUACCAAACUUAUCCCCCACCAUCAAUAGAAAUAAGUAAAAAACAACUUCUUCAAAUAGUGAAAGCAGGCAGCAUGGGAGAGGAAAACACAUGGUCAGGUUAGUCCUGGGAGCACAUUCCUGACCCCAGCAGAAAGGGAAAACUCAAGGAAUGUAAAAUAAUAAUCCCAGAGAGGUAAGAAAACAACGUUCUUAGCUUAGAAAGUGGACAAACUAAGAAAACUAGAAUUUUCACGGAAAGGUUUUAAAGUCCCAUAGGAUCUACUGCAAAUGCCAAAUGGACAUCUAUAGAAAGAAAUUCAACUAAGCCAGCAACUACUUGAUCAAUAUAAAUUGAUCAUUUUUCAGGAACUAUACAAGAGUAGGAGGUUGACGAAUUCUGUCCAGCCAGAAGCAUUGUUGAACCUUUGGAACAGUCACUUGGGGUCCCAGGACCACAGCCUAGUUAAAGGGGUAAAUCCACCCUCCAGUAAAGGCUACUUUAGACCCACCCUAACAUCUGAACAGCAACACGUGCUAACCCACAAUUUACUUAACUGCAAAACAGUCAAGUGCCCUUUGGAGAAACAAAAAUAAUUAAGGUCAACUGUGAUAUCUGCAAAACUUAGCAUCUAAUCAAAAAUCAUUAGACUUUUGAAGAAUCAAGUAAAUGUGAUCCAUAACCAAGAGAGGAAAAAAGGGCAAUCAGAAGACAACAAUAACAGAAAUAUUGGAAUCAAUGCAGAUUUAAAAGAGUCAUAAAUAUUAUCAAUAAUUCAAAGGAACUGGGAAAGGCACAGAGCGUCUCAUGCCCAGGAGACAACAGUCUAAGUGUGAUUAUUUUAUAAAAGAAAGAGAGUGAGAGAGAUGCUGAAAAUUUUUCAGGAAAUGAUAGCUAAAAUUUUUCCAAAUUUUAUGAAAACCUGAUAUUUUCACCGAGAGAUUAACUCUAAACAGGAUAAAUAGUAUAAAAGCUCAUUGUAAUGAAACUCAAUGCAAGCCCAUUACAACAUAAAGCAUCAGAGGUAAAAUAUACAUGACACGUGAAAGAACAAAUGUUUAGUUCCAACUUCUUGUCAGAAACAGGCAAAGACAAUGAAUUGAAACCUUGGGGGAUUUAGUGUCUGGGAGUGGAUAGGGUGCACAUAUACGUUCAAGUGUAUGAGCCUGGUGGGGGGCAUUCAGAAGCCAGAUAAGACAUCUACUACUUUGCCUCAUUUUGCCUUGAGACAGGGUCUUUCACUGAAUUCAUGUUUUCAGUGAUGCAGGCUGGCCAGUGAGCCCUCAGGAUCUACCUGUCUGCCCCAUGACCCAAUUCUGGGGGCACAGGCAAAAUGAUUCAAACUCAAGUAUUAUGCUUAUAGAAUAAGCUCUUACCCAUUGAGCCACCUUUUUCGGCUCCUGUAAUGAAACCUUCAAGUGCUUGAAAAGCAAACUAUUGACAUAGACUUCUAUGUCCUUUAUAUUUAAGAAUCAGAGGCCAGAUAUGGUGGCACAUGGCAUAAUCCCAACACUCAGUAAACAGAGCUGGGGAGGUCACAUGCUCUAAGCAGGCCAAACCACACAGUAAGUUGGAAGCCAGACCUUGAUGAGAAUUUGUAUAAAACAUCAAAGAAAUGAUUCCUUUGACCAUCAUAUUUGUUAUAUAUGAGUCACUUGGCCACUAAUCAUUUAGUGUCAUUCUUGUUGAACAAACUGACUAUCAUUGCAUAAAAGUACUUGUGUUCAGUCAACCUUUGUGCACCAAAGGGCAGAAAUGGUGGUGAUGGCAAUUUUAUUGCAGAAUCUUAUGUUGAUUUUUCUAUUUUGGCAUUGUUAAUUGUUAGUCCCUUACUGUGUCUAGUUUAUAAAUCAAACUUUGUUAUAGGUAUUCACUAUAGGAAAAGCAUAGUAUGUAUGAGUUGGGUCUGAUUCUGUCCAUGAUUGCAAGCAUCCAGUACAGGCAGAGGUGGCUUAGAACUUGUUCUGGAGAUGGCUCAGUGUUUAACAGAGACUGCUUCUCUUACAGAUGACCUGAGUUCAGUGCUCAGCACCUACCUUAGGCAGCUCCCAGCCACCUAUAACACUUGCUUCAGGGGAAUACAAGCUCUUCUGGCUGUGGUUACCAGCACUCAUGUAGGCAUACACACAUAC